rnacentral:rRNA from 1 species
AUGCAUGUCUAAGUAUAAGCUUUUAUACAGCGAAACUGCGAAUGGCUCAUUAAAACAGUUAUAGUUUAUUUGAUGUUUUUAUUACAUGGAUAACCGUGGUAAUUCUAGGGCUAAUACAUGCAUGUGCGUUUACGCAGCGUUUAUUAGACUAAACCAUCCCCUUUGGGUACCGGUGAUUCAUAAUAAAUUAGCGAAUCGCAUGGCUUUGCCGGCGAUGUAUCAUUCAAGUUUCUGACCUAUCAGCUU